rnacentral:rRNA from 1 species
GACGAACGCUGGCGGCGUGCUUAACACAUGCAAGUCGAACGGAAAGGCCCUGCUUUUGUGGGGUGCUCGAGUGGCGAACGGGUGAGUAACACGUGAGUAACCUGCCCUUGACUUUGGGAUAACUUCAGGAAACUGGGGCUAAUACCGGAUAGGAGCUCCUGCUGCAUGGUGGGGGUUGGAAAGUUUCGGCGGUUGGGGAUGGACUCGCGGCUUAUCAGCUUGUUGGUGGGGUAGUGGCUUACCAAGGCUUUGACGGGUAGCCGGCGUGGGAGGGUGACCGGCCACCUGGGGACUGAGAUACGGCCCAGACUCCUACGGGAGGCAGCAGUGGGGAAUAUUGCACAAUGGGCGGAAGCCUGAUGCAGCAACGCCGCGUGCGGGAUGACGGCCUUCGGGUUAUAAACCGCUUUCGCCUGUGACGAAGCGUGAGUGACGGUAAUGGGUAAAGAAGCACCGGCUAACUACGUG